rnacentral:rRNA from 1 species
CUAAUACAUGCAUGUUGAACGGGAUGUAGCAAUACAUUCAGUAGCGAAUGGGUGAGUAACACGUACCUAACCUACCUUUAAGACUGGGAUAACUAUUGGAAACAAUAGCUAAUACCGGAUAUAGUUAUUUAUCGCAUGAUGAGUAAUAGAAAGGAGCUUCACAGCUUCACUUAAAAAUGGGGGUGCGGAACAUUAGUUAGUUGGUAGGGUAAUGGCCUACCAAGACGAUGAUGUUUAGCCGGGCCGAGAGGCUGUACGGCCACACUGGGACUGAGAUACGGCCCAGACUCCUACGGGAGGCAGCAGUAAGGAAUUUUCCACAAUGAGCGAAAGCUUGAUGGAGCGACACNGCGUGCAGGAUGAAGUUCUUCGGAAUGUAAACUGCUGUUAUAAGGGAAGAAAAAAUAGAAUAGGAAAUGAUUUUAUCUUGACGGUACCUUAUUAGAAAGCGACGGCAAACUAUGUGCCAGCAGCCGCGGUAAUACAUAGGUCGCAAGCGUUAUCCGGAAUUAUUGGGCGUAAAGCGUCCGUAGGUUUUUUGCUAAGUCUGGAGUUAAAUGCUGAAGCUCAACUUCAGUCCGCUUUGGAUACUGGCAAAAUAGAAUUAUAAAGAGGUUAGCGGAAUUCCUAGUGAAGCGGUGGAAUGCGUAGAUAUUAGGAAGAACACCAAUAGGCGAAGGCAGCUAACUGGUUAUAUAUUGACACUAAGGGACGAAAGCGUGGGGAGCAAACAGGAUUAGAUACCCUGGUAGUCCACGCCGUAAACGAUGAUCAUUAGUUGGUGGAAUAAUUUCACUAACGCAGCUAACGCGUUAAAUGAUCCGCCUGAGUAGUAUGCUCGCAAGAGUGAAACUUAAAGGAAUUGACGGGAACCCGCACAAGCGGUGGAGCAUGUGGUUUAAUUUGAAGAUACGCGUAGAACCUUACCCACUCUUGACAUCUUCUGCAAAGCUAUAGAGAUAUAGUGGAGGUUAACAGAAUGACAGAUGGUGCAUGGUUGUCGUCAGCUCGUGUCGUGAGAUGUUAGGUUAAGUCCUGCAACGAGCGCAACCCUUUUCUUUAGUUACUAAUAUUAAGUUAAGGACUCUAGAGAUACUGCCUGGGUAACCAGGAGGAAGGUGGGGACGACGUCAAAUCAUCAUGCCUCUUACGAGUGGGGCAACACACGUGCUACAAUGGUCGGUACAAAGAGAAGCAAUAUGGUGACAUGGAGCAAAUCUCAAAAAACCGAUCUCAGUUCGGAUUGAAGUCUGCAACUCGACUUCAUGAAGUCGGAAUCGCUAGUAAUCGUAGAUCAGCUACGCUACGGUGAAUACGUUCUCGGGUUUUGUACACACCGCCCGUCACACCAUGGGAGUUGGUAAUGCCCAAAGUCGGUGAG